AGCGAACGCUGGCGGCAGGCCUAACACAUGCAAGUCGAACGAAGCCUUCGGGCUUAGUGGCGGACGGGUGAGUAACGCGUGGGAACGUGCCCUUUGGUUCGGAAUAGCCCCGGGAAACUGGGAGUAAUACCGGAUAAGCCCUACGGGGGAAAGAUUUAUCGCCAAAGGAUCGGCCCGCGUUGGAUUAGGUAGUUGGUGGGGUAAUGGCCUACCAAGCCGACGAUCCAUAGCUGGUUUGAGAGGAUGAUCAGCCACACUGGGACUGAGACACGGCCCAGACUCCUACGGGAGGCAGCAGUGGGGAAUCUUAGACAAUGGGGGAAACCCUGAUCUAGCCAUGCCGCGUGAUCGAUGAAGGCCUUAGGGUUGUAAAGAUCUUUCAGCUGGGAAGAUAAUGACUGUACCAGCAGAAGAAGCCCCGGCUAACUCCGUGCCAGCAGCCGCGGUAAUACGGAGGGGGCUAGCGUUGUUCGGAAUUACUGGGCGUAAAGCGCACGUAGGCGGAACAGAAAGUCAGAGGUGAAAUCCCAGGGCUCAACCUUGGAACUGCCUUUGAAACUCCUGUUCUUGAGGUCGAGAGAGGUGAGUGGAAUUCCGAGUGUAGAGGUGAAAUUCGU
rnacentral:rRNA from 1 species